rnacentral:rRNA from 1 species
GACGUAGGGCGCGAGCGUUGUCCGGAUUUAUUGGGCGUAAAGAGCUCGUAGGCGGCUCGGUAAGUCAGGUGUGAAACCUCCAGGCUCAACCUGGAGACGCCACCUGAUACUGCUGUGGCUAGGGUCUGGUAGGGGAGCGGUGGAAUUCCUGGUGUAGCGGUGAAAUGCGCAGAUAUCAGGAGGAACACCAGCGGCGAAGGCGGCGCUCUGGGCCGGAACUGACGCUGAGGAGCGAAAGCGUGGGUAGCAAACAGG